UACAGAGGGUGCGAGCGUUUGUUCGGAAUUAUUGGGCGUAAAGCGCUUGUAGGCGGCUUGUUAAGUUCCGUGUGAAAUCCCCAGGCUUAACCUGGGAAGUGCGCGGGAAACUGGCGAGCUUGAAUGCCGGAGAGGGUCGCGGAAUUCCCGGUGUAGAGGUGAAAUUCGUAGAUAUCGGGAGGAACACCAGUGGCGAAGGCGGCGACCUGGACGGACAUUGACGCUGAGAC
rnacentral:rRNA from 1 species